GACGAACGCUGGCGGCACGCUUAACACAUGCAAGUCGAACGAGAGAAGAGAAGCUUGCUUUUCUGAUCUAGUGGCGGACGGGUGAGUAACACGUGAGCAAUCUGCCUUUCAGAGGGGGAUACCGAUUGGAAACGAUCGUUAAUACCGCAUAAUAUGAUUGAACCGCAUGAUUUGAUUAUCAAAGAUUUAUCGCUGAAAGAUGAGCUCGCGUCUGAUUAGCUAGUUGGUAAGGUAACGGCUUACCAAGGCGACGAUCAGUAGCCGGACUGAGAGGUUGAUCGGCCACAUUGGGACUGAGACACGGCCCAGACUCCUACGGGAGGCAGCAGUGGGGAAUAUUGCACAAUGGAGGAAACUCUGAUGCAGCGAUGCCGCGUGAGGGAAGAAGGUUUUAGGAUUGUAAACCUCUGUCUUCAGGGACGAAAA
rnacentral:rRNA from 1 species